ACCACAUUUGGACCGUCGGUCUACCGAGCAACAUCACCCGCUUGGUGUAAAAUCUUCCCUCCGUCGU
rnacentral:pre_miRNA from 1 species